rnacentral:rRNA from 1 species
AUUGAACGCUGGCGGCAGGCCUAACACAUGCAAGUCGAGCGAGCGGCGGACGGGUGAGUAAUGUAUGGGGACUGCCCGAUAGAGGGGGAUAACUACUGGAAACGGUGGCUAAUACCGCAUACUAUCGGAUAACCCAUAUGGGAUUAGCUAGUGGGUGGGGUAAAGGCUCACCUAGGCGACGAUCUCUCGCUGGUCGGAGAGGAUGAGCAGCCACACUGGGACGGAGACAAGGCCCAGACUCCUACGGAGGCAGCCGUGGGGAAGAGUGCACAAUGGGCGCAAGCCUGAUGCAGCCAUGCCGCGUGUAUGAAGCAGGCCUUCGGGUUGUAAAGUACUUUCAGCGGGGAGGCGUUACCCGCAGAAGAAGCACCGGCUAACUCCGUGCCAGCAGCCGCGGUAAUAC